AACGAACGCUGGCGGCAGGCUUAAUACAUGCAAGUCGAGCGGGCACUUCGGUGUCAGCGGCGCACGGGUGCGUAACGCGUGGGAACAUGCCCUUAGGUACGGAACAACACAGGGAAACUUGUGCUAAUACCGUAUAAUCACUCCGGAUCAAAGAUUUAUCGCCUAAGGAUUGGCCCGCGUUAGAUUAGGUAGUUGGUGGGGUAAAGGCCUACCAAGCCGACGAUCUAUAGCUGGUCUGAGAGGAUGAUCAGCCACACUGGAACUGAGACACGGUCCAGACUCCUACGGGAGGCAGCAGUAAGGAAUAUUGGACAAUGGGCGAAAGCCUGAUCCAGCCAUGCCGCGUGAGUGCUGAAGGCCUUAGGGUUGUAAAGCUCUUUUAGAUGGGAAGCUAAUGACUGUACCAUCAGAAUAAGCCCCGGCUAAAUUCGUGCCAGCCGCCGCCGUAA
rnacentral:rRNA from 1 species